UACGUAGGGUGCGAGCGUUGUCCGGAAUUACUGGGCGUAAAGAGCUCGUAGGUGGUUUGUCGCGUUGUCCGUGAAAACUCACAGCUUAACUGUAGGCGUGCGGGCGAUACGGGCAGACUGGAGUACUGCAGGGGAGACUGGAAUUCCUGGUGUAGCGGUGGAAUGCGCAGAUAUCAGGAGGAACACCGGUGGCGAAGGCGGGUCUCUGGGCAGUAACUGACGCUGAGGAGCGAAAGCGUGGGGAGCGAACAGG
rnacentral:rRNA from 1 species